rnacentral:lncRNA from 1 species
UUUUUUUGUUUGUUAAGUUUUUAACUAUUGAAUGUGUUGUUUAUUGCCAAUCAUGUGCACCGCCAGAUCUACAAAUCUAGUUUUGAAAAUUUGAAAAAAAUAAAAAUACAAAAUAUACAUGAUUGCCUUUGAUUUGUUAAAAAAAAAUUGUAGGGGCAAAAUAGAUAGUUAGAGAGUAGAAGCACAAAAAUCUGAAUUUUAUUUGUUAAGAUAAUUUAACUAAUGACUUUGCGGAAAUAUGAGAUAAGAGUGCAGAUUCGAAAUAUCAUAUUCUACUUAUUUAUUUUUAAAUGGUAAAUUUUAGUCAUUAAAUUAUUUUUCAAAAUAAUACUAUUUUUUUUAAAUUACUUAAAAACAUUUCAUCUUUCUAUCUGCAUGUCUAUCUUUCCAUUAAAAAAUUUCUUGUUGUCAUUUUUUUAAAAAUUUUAAAUGUGUCGUUAAUGUUAUGGAGCUUGGAUGGAAGAGACAAAAGGAAUUGGCGAGGAAUAAUUUUGGAAUUUGCUAUCAAUCAUUAAUAAGUCAUUAGUGUCAAUCAAAGAAAAGAAAGAGAAAGAACUCAAUGUGUGACUAUAUGAUUUGUGCAAUUAUAUUCUUUAUCUAGACCAACUAUAUAUCUUUAAAAUGGAAAAGACACUCUAUUUGUGGCUAUCACUUUCUUUUAAUUUAUGAAACUAAAUUUUGGAGAAGGUCGAACUUAGGCGCUUGCCACCUAUGCCACAACAAUUUUGUUAAUAAAAUUUGUCAAACAUAAAUAUACGUUAUGUUCUUUUUGGAACAAUAGAAUGUCGAAACUUAAUGAAAAGAUAUUACAUAGAAAUCAAUUUAGAAGAAUAGACUCUAAUACAAUCAACUAAUAAAAAGGAGAGAUUUUAACAAAAACUUGCUUAUAAAACAUCAAAAUAGGAUUUAGAUCACAUUCCAUGUUGAGAAGUGUAUAUGUGAAAGAAUUUGACUCACGGUAAAUAUGAAAAAUCCACACCCUCCAAUCUAGCUUGACAAAUUAUUAAUUUUGUUGUGCCAACCACAUUCUAAUUAUACUAUCCUGUCCAUGAUGCAAAAUAUUUUGAACAACUUCUUUGGAAUCUAUAUAUAGCGCAAUAGCUCGAACUCAAACUCUUUUGUUAAUCUUAGUCCUUCUAGCACAUCCAAAAGUUCAACAAUAUAUAUGCACUACAAGAAUCUAAAUAUCUUACAAAACCUUCAAGUCACUCACCCGUACAACCUCUUAAAUAACCACCACAUUCAACUUUCAAGUUAUUCUUACUAGCUUUAUCCGUGUUCAAUCUCACCUAACCCAAAGGAGGAGGAGUCCACCUUAUUUUCUUAGCCUCUCAAAUCAACUUUAUUUUACUACCAUGUAGCUCCGCUACCCAAGAAAAUACUCAUGAGCAACUUUAGUAACAUGCCGCCAUAUAAUUCUAGGUCUCCAAAACAAUUUCAUCACGUCGUUCCUUAUUCUUCCAUAUCCAAAGUGCAGGGAAAGAGGUUGCUCAAAGUUUCAACCACGACGAAUCUCCACUAAUACCAAAAUCCAAACGCAAAUAAGUAUCCAACCACUACUUAAUAUUACUAGUGAAAAAAUAAUCUCUCAUAUUCAACUUAACCACAUUAGUCCAAAUAACAAAUGGUAAAUGACAAUCACAUAAGACAUGUAUAAUGGGUUCCACUUAUGUCCCAUAGUGACUACAAAAAGGUCCUCUUAAUUGCAUUUUAUUUUCUAUCUCAUUGGUCAUUAUCCUACCAUGAUACACAUACUAAAUAAAGGACCUUAUUCGUUCAGAUACUUUAAGCUUCCAUAUCGACCUCCAACUAUCCUCAAUAUUUUGCCUACCAAAAUUAGUCAUUAAUUUAUAACUUGAUGAAACAAUAUACUCAACUUUUUUAUCGUUUGGCCAACAACAAAUAUAUCUUAAACUAUUACCAUCAAGAGGGAGAAUAGCUAGAAUUUUAGUUACCAUAUUUUUGGGAAACAUAUGCUUUAAAAUAUCCAUAUUCUACUUAUCAUUUUGAUCUAAUAUGUCCUCUAAAUUGUGAUAAGAAGUUGUAUUAACACCAAUUGUAUUAAUAUUCAUCAACUUCAUACACGGUUCAACUCAACAAUGAGACCAAACAUCUGUAUUGGCAAUAUCUCUUAUAGAUAAAUAUGCAAAUUGAGCAAACUUAGGCCAUAAGUUACCAAGAUUCUUCCACAAACUUGAAUCAUUUGCCUUAAUAAUCACAUCCUUAUAAUCAACAUUGUUCUUCAUAUAUUCGCCCCACAUAAAUUCAAAACAAAGAGAUUGUUCAUUACCAUGAAUAGCCCAACUAAGCUUCAAAAGACAAAAAUUAUUCAUAACAUCCAAUCGUCUAAUACUUAACCCUCUUAAGAACUUUGGCAACAUCAUUACAUCUUACUUCACCGAAUGAACUCUUCUAUGCUCCUCGCUAUCACCCUAGAUAAAACAAAACUAUAACUUUUGAAUCUCAUGCAAACAAGCUGUAUAAAUGCUAGUAGUCAUCAUAAUAUAGGUUGGAAGAGCUUCAAUAACAACUUUAGAGAUAUUUACCCGACCUGCAAAAGAAAGAUGUCAAGUUUUUCAAAUGACAAACUUUGACUUAACUUGCUUUAGGAUAUAAUUAAAAUCAGAUCUUCUUGGUGCACUUCUAACGAGAGGGACACCCAACUAUUUUCCAAGUGAUUGUGUUUUACAGAAGCCAGACAUAACAUCCAAUUUACGACGAAUAGACACAUGAGUGUCUCUAUAAAAAAAAAUGCUUGUGUUUACCAAUAAUCACUUGCUAACCAAACAAAAGGAAACAUUGAUUAACAAUACCGAGCAUAUUGAAUUUAAACCCAUGUAGCUUGACAAAAAAAUAUAAGAUCAUCUACAAAUAUCAAGCGAGAUAUGAAAGGACAAUUUCUACCCGCCUUCAUAGUUUUCCAAAAGUGUUGCUCCACACAAUGAGAAAUAAGAUGAGACAAUUUAUCAAUGCAAGCAACUAAGAGGUACUAAGAAAUAGGGUCUCCUUGUCUGAUACCUAUUUCCAAGUUUGCAACCGUUUUAUCGGUUAGAACAAGAUUUGAUUCUGCAUCAGACCUUUAAUUUUAAUGAUAACAAUGCAUUGUUUCUUAGAGAAUAAUUUUGUACACUAAUGAUUCUCAUCUAGUGUGUAGUUUUUAAUAACAUGUUUUGACUCUGAAGUAAUGACAUGUGACAUUAUCAGAUUCUGGAAUCAACACACUCUGACUCCGAGAAGAUUCAAGUUCUUUACAAGAUGUUGUCAAGUUCUAUAAAGCUCUUAGACAACGGUUGUAAGGAACGUUCAUGUUAAAGCUUCUGAAUGUGACUAUGAUUGAAGAGCCUCCGAAGGUUUGUUUGUCUUAAAGAUUAUGUGCUCAAAUUUUGAAGAUUUUGAAGAACAAGAUCUGAAGACUCUGAAGACCAGGUUCUGAGGAACUCUGUCAAGACUUUGAAGACCAAAGUUCUGAAGAUUAUGUCAACUUGUCUCUUGAUCCUUCUAAGCAUGCUUCAACAUCAUUUCAUUAUAAGCCUAUGAAGAUUAGAAGAUAAGAUCAAAAGGUUUUGCGUCAGGAAAAUAGUACACAAUACAAGAUCGCCAUUUCCUCCACUACUAUGAUUUUUUGGGCUAAGGACAAUAUUAUUGUACCAUUUUGUCUCACAUGUGCAAACCGUAAUGAAAAGAGACAACUGCAAUUCAAUAUUUCAAUUCUACCCUCCAACGGUUCUUUUAUAUGCCUAUAUAAAGGAUACUUGAAGAUUGGAAGAAUCUGCUAAUUCACUGCACUCAUAACAACACUACUACACACGCUCUUGUUGAAAUCAUAUUAUUUCUGAGUAUAGUUUUUGUAAAUACACAAGAGUUUUUACUCGUUAUUGUGUGAGAAAUAUUUGUAUUAACUUGUUAUAUAUUAAUAUAAAUAUAUUAUUAAUAUUUAUAAAUUAUGAAUUUUUAAUAAAAAAUUAUAUUUAAACAUAAAUUCAUAGUAUUUUUUCAUGGAUUUCAGAUCAACUGUUUUUUUGUCAAUAAUAUAUAUAUAUAUUAUAUAUAUAUAUAUAUAUAUAUAUAAUUUUUUGUAGUAUACUAUAGUGUUUAUUAAUGUUAUGUAAAAAUAUAUAGUAUACUAAGGUAAGUAAGUAAUUAAUAUUCAUAAAUUAAUUAUAUAACAGAAAAUAAACUAAAUUUAUUAUAUAUCUUUUUGGUUAUCAAAAUCACUGAAUUUGUAGUGACGUGCAACAAUUGUGACCCAGAAACCGCAACAGUGAUUGUGAUGAUGAAACAAUAUAAAAUUCAAGGCGACCGUUCAAUAGUGUUCAUUUUGUAGUAAUGCGCAAGUCUGGCAUUAACAUCUCUCCUACCAUCAAUUUGGUUCAAUUCAUCUAAAAUAAUAUACACUAAUAAAUAGAAGUAUAAGAGGAUCAUAAUAUAGUAGUGAUAUCAAGAUGGAUUUCUACAAUGGAAACGUUGAUGAACGAUCUAUACGGUGGAAUCAGAAAAUUUUGUGUUGGAAGACUCAAAGAAUAUGAUUUGCUAACAAAAUCUCUUUAUGGACUAAAACAUGUGUCUCGUUAGUGAUACCACAAGUUUCAUGAAGUAACUCUCCUAUUUAGCUUUGAGGUGAAUCUUGUUGAAGAUUGUACGUAUUACAAAUUUAGUGGGAGGAAGUAUAUUUUCUUAGUCCUAUAUGUUAAUGACAUAUUGCUUACCUCCAAUGAUAUAGACAUGAUGUACGAAAUCAAGAAAUUUCUAUCAAGAACAUUCAAAAUAAAAGAUCUUGGUGAUACCUCUUUUGUAUUAGGAAUUCAAAUACAUCGAGACCGAUCUCGAGGUAUUCUCGGAUUAUCACAAAUGAUAUAUAUCGAAAAGCUACUUAAAAGGUUUGGCAUGCAAGAAUGUAAAUUAGGGGAUACUCCAAUGGCUAAGGAAGUCAAAUUCCGUCUCAGUUAGUGUCCAAAAGGAAACUUAGAAAUUCAAGAAAUGCAAAAGAUUCUUUAUGUGUCAGCUGUAGGGAGUCUGAUGUAUGAUUAAGUGUGUACGCGUCCGAAUAUUGUGUUCAUAGUUGGGAUGUUAGGCAGAUAUUUGAGCAAUUCAGGAAUGGAUCAUUAGAAAGCGGCCAAAAAUGUUAUGAGGUAUUUAAAGAGAACAAAAAACUAUAUGCUCACAUAUAUGAGGUCAUACCUCCUAGAGAUCACUAGACACUCUGGCUCAGAUUUUGCUAGAUGCUAAAAUAGUAAAAGAUCCACUUCAGGCUAUAUCUACAUGUUGGUUGGUGGUGCAAUUUCUUGGCGUAGUGCUAAGAAAAUCCUUACGGCUUCAUCCACCAUGGCAACAUAGUUUAUAACAUGUUAUGAGGCUCCCAACCAUGGGAUUUGGCUGAGGAAUCUUGUCAUUGGACUGCAAAUUAUGGAAGGAAUUGAAAGACCACUUAAGUUAUACUAUGACAACAAAUCAACCGUCAUGUAUUCUAACAAUAAUAGUAGCUCCACCAAGUCCAAACAUAUUGACAUCAAGUUUCUAAUUGUUAAAGAAUGGGUACAAAGUGAACAGAUUUCUAUAAAACAAUUGGGUACAAACUCCAUGAUAGUAGAUCCUCUUACAAAAGGUCUCCAUCCAAGGUCUUUCAUGAGCACAUUGCUCACAUAAGUGUUUUAUCGGUAGAGGAUGACACUGACGUCAGCGAAAAAGUUUGAAGAGUGUCGAAAAUACUUUUAAAAAAUGUCACCUUUCUUUUUUGGAUUCAAAAUCGAAAUAUGACAUUUUGGGGAGCAAUUUGUUACCUCAGAUUUUCGAGACAAGCAUUAAUUAUUAAAAAUGAGAUAAGUUUUACGUGAUAAUGAGUUUAUUGCUAAAAAUCAAAGUGGUCAGUUACGAUCAUGGAAAGCUUGACGAAUUUGAUUUAUCGAGAAACAUGUAUCAACUUUGGCCGUAUUGUAAUCAGUCAGAGACCAUGAAGUUUAUUAGUUUUAGGACUUAGUGAAAUUCAGAGUACCCAAAUAUUUUUUCUAAGCAGUCGAAUGAGGUGUAAGAGGAUAAGAUCAGACAACUAUUUGAGGACACAUGGGAGCCUGUCAAAGACGGAGGCUGCAUGUAAACGAAAAUGUGGUAUAUUUUGCUUUGUCGACCGUUGUAGACGGUUAACUUAGGACUAAUAUAUAAGUAAGCAUUCACUUAUAUUUUAGGAGUCCGCAAGUGGUAUGAUAGUACUUUGAGUGUAGAAAAGAAAGUCAAUUGGAAGACUUGGUGGAGAUUCUCUUGUUGGUCAAGUCUCUGCCUGAGGUAGAAGACACAUUUGUUUGGUGGAAAGGUUGUCAUAGUUUUUAAGUUAACGGUAGUUAUAAUUUCUUGUUAAAAUUAUACAAUGAGGAGAUUCAUCUGGAAGAAGUGAGAGAGGUCCCAAGCAAGGUUCAAUCUUUGAGCUGGAGGCUCUUGCUCAAUCGACUCCCAACUAAGAUUCAACUUGCAAGAAGAGAGGUUCUUGAAGAUAGUCACAACUUGGUGCACCCUUUAUGCUUAAUUAAAGAAUAAGAUGAAACUCAUAUUUUCAUGGGUUGCUUAGUAAAUAAGUUUGUUUAGAAGAAGGUUAACGACUAUAUCGAAAUUGCAAAAGUGAAAGAAGCAUAACAUUAUUUCUUCCCAUUUAGUCCAAUUUUGCUCAUUGAUCAAAAAAGAAUUUUUUAGAAAAAUUUAAUUGCUUAUUUUGGUCGGUUGUUUUGUUGGAUUCUUUGAUCUUGUAUAAAUAAUAUUUUAUUUAAAAGAGCUCUCUUGUAUGAGUGGACACUGGUAGGAGUAUCAAGCUUCUAUAAUAUGAAUGAUCUCAAGUCAAUUUCAAAAGUUCUCUUUGUUGGGUUAAAUGGUAUAUUAAUCUAAGUCCCACAUCGGGUAGUAGGAAGAAAAUAGAAAUUGAGUAUUAAUAUAAAUAGAGAUAGUUGAUUUUAGUUUUCUAUCAACAACAAAAUGUAGUCUUUCGGUGUGUAUUGAGGAUUUGGGUAGUUGUGUGUUUAUGGAGGGUUUUCUAUUCAAAAAUAGUCCGUUGAGAGGGUUUUUAUUUUUUCGUUCAAAAAAUAGUUUGUUGAGUAAAAAUUACAAGUUUAAUUUUUGCUUAUUUUUCUUUUUUGUGGGUAUAUUUUUGCAUGCGUAAAAAAAUUCUGAUCAAGGGAGGAAGAAGAUAAAAAAAAACUGAAGAGUAUAAAUAAAGAUAGUUUAUUUUAGUUUUCUACACAACAAUCAAAUGCAGUCUUUUAAGUGUAUUUGAAGAUUUUGGUAGUUGUGUGUUUAGAGAGGGUUUUUUAUUUUUCUUUUCAAAAAUUAUUUGUUAAGAGGGUUUUUUUAUUUUUUCUUUCAAAAAUAGUUUGUUGAGAGGGUUUGCAAUUUUCCAUCCCAAAAUUAUAGUUGAGAGAAGAUUUGCAAUUUUUUCGUCCAAAAAUUGUAAUGGAGAGAGGGCUUAUAAUUUUUCCGUUCAAAAAUUGUAAAUGAGAGAGGGUUUGUAAAUUUCUCCUUAAAAAUUGCAAUUGUAUGAGAGAGUUUAUAAUUUUGUCAUUGUAAAAAUUACAAGUUGAAUUAUGAUUUUAAGAGUUUUUGCUUUUUUUUGUCGGUAUGCUUUUGCGUGCGUAAUUAGGCGGAUUAGAAAUCCAAUUUGGGGAGUUGUUUAUCUUGCAAGUUUAUCUCCUAUCUUUCUAUUUCUAUUGUGGAUGUAUCUCUUAGGUGUUGUCCCUAAAAUAAGGGUUGAACACCCUUUAUACUCUUUUUUAGUAGAAAUCAAUAUCCUCAUCGCGCAACUGCAUAUAUUAAUCUCUCGAGCUGAAUAUUAAUCUCUCGAGUCGAGGAAGACCACAACAAACGAUAAAACUCUCCCUCAAGAGAUUUAACAUUGUUGCGUGUCCAAUGUGUCCAAUGUUGAGUUUGAACCAAAAAUCUCUUGUUUAACUAAAAGAGACCAUUAUCAUGUCAUUCAAAUUCUCUUGCAUACCCUUUUAUUCCUUUUAAUUCAAUUCUCCUUCGCUUAUAAAAAACACUUUCUCUUUCUCUUGAAUAAUUUACCCUAAUAUAUUGCCCACACUUCAUAUUUAUUUUCUCAUUCUUUGUGUGAAUAAUGACUAAGUUGGUCAUAUAUAUAUAUUUCCCGACAACAAUGUAUAAUUCAUUCAUUAAAAGACAAAAGGUUAGUACAAAUGAUAUAAGCUAAAGAUUCAUAGACCUUUCCUACUAGACUAUGCGCAGCCUAUUUUACAAAGACUAUGACAACAAUAUUCAGACACAAUGCAACUAAGUUAGAUUCAAUUAUUGCGAGAAUUACUUGUCAAAUUGAUUAACUCCCCUGUAAAAUGUGAGACAGCAACAGCUAUGACACUUGUCAAGUCUCAAAACUCUUCUGAAUUUUUACAAAUAUCCUUUAGAUUUUAGGAUCUGGAUCUUGUUUUUGAAUCCCGACGUUGUGUGAAUCACUAAUGAACAUUAAAAUAAACAUUCGGUUAAAUCAAAUUAUGAAUCAACAUUAGUGAAAAUACAUCUAUAUAAAUUUAAAACAUCAAUGAAUCUAACUGAUCGUUCAAAUCACAAUAACAUUAACAUUAACAUUAAUUCUAAACAAGUGAAAGUCUGCUGCUUGUAAUAAAUUGUAGUUAGAUAGGAGUUUAUUUUUAUUCACUACAACAAACAAGACCUUAGACAGCGCUUUUUUUAGCCUUAGACAGCGCUUUAAAGCGCUGUCUAAACCUCCGCUGUUAAAGGUUUAGACAGCGCUUUUUUAAAUCUUAAAAGCGCUGUCUAAGCCCCCCCCCUUAGACAGCGCUUUGGCCAAAAGCGCUUUAAGACCCUCUUAUUUUAAAUUUUUAGGUAUACCUUAGACAGCGCUUUUGAAAAGCGCUGUCUAAGCCCCACCCCCUUAGACAGCGCUUUGGCCAAAAGCGCUUUCUAAGACCCUCCUAUUUAAUUUUUUUAGGUAUACCUUAGACAACGCUUUUCAAAAGCGCUGUCUAAGCCCCCCCCUUAGACAGCGCUUUUGCCUAAAGCGCUUUCUAAUCCCCCUUAGACAGCGCUUUUACAAAAGCGCUGUCUAAGGUAUACGAAAAUUUUUGAAGCUUUUGUUUUAAACCGCAUUUUUUCCAGGUUUAUAACCAGAAUUUCUACCUGUUUCAACCAGAUUUUGACAGACAAUUAUCACAUUUUAUAUAUGCCAUUUUGACCUUUUUUCUACCAAUUUUGGCUAACAAAUAUAUAUAUAUAUACCAAUUCAAACCAAUACAAAAUUACUAAUAUAUUAAAACUACAAAAAUAACUCUAAUCAAAACUACUAAAGUUACAGUAACUAGAUGCACUGUGGUUGCCUCGUUUAUAUCAUUUAAUUCUACCAUCGCAUGCAUGCAUGUCGCAUCCUGCGAAAAAUCAACCGGCGAGCUAAAAUAAAAACACACAGAGCCGCCACUGCGCGGUUAUUUAUCCCUGGAUAGGGAAAGGAAACGCUCAGAGAAACCUGGAAAGAACAUGGUCUCGCGACCAAAGAGAAAGGGUAAGGGAGUCGGUUACGCAAGGGGAAGGUAUUAGCACCCUCACGUCCGUCGUACUCGACGGGAUCCACGUCCUAGAAUAAAGAAUAGGUGCAAACAUCACACACACACACGGGGAACGCAGGUGGGUUUAGGAGAAGGGAGCUCGAUAAGGUAUCGCACCUUAUGCCUACAUAUCUUGUCUGGAACAAGAAUCAGAGCCACUGUAGUUCGGCUUACGCACGCCAAACAACACAAAACACACAAACAGACAAGGGGGCAAACAUGGAGCCCGACAACCACUGGAUGGAAUUACGUCAGCAUCCGAACCAAAACGCACUCAAAAGGGCAAACGUGGAGCCCGACUGCCAAUCACUGGCUUACGUCGGCAUCCGAACCAAAACACACAAUCAGAUAACAAGUAAACGCACGCAAAAGAAAAGGUUGCCCGGAGAGGUCUCGCACGACCCCCUGCCCUACAUACCUCGUCUGGAACGAGGAUCAGGGCGAUGUAGUUCCCCUGAAAGGGAAAAAGAUUUCAGCCAAAAACCGGGGGAAGACGCACUACCAGGGAGCUGGACUCGAGCCUAGUGUUGUCAUGCAUCGUUACCUAAGUUCAGUUUUCUAUCCUACUUACAUAAGCAAACUAUUCCUAUCCAGGAAAGAAGCAAGCACACAAGCAUACAAAAUAAUUCAAGCAUACAUCAAAUGAGAACAAGCAUCUCAAACAAGCAUGUCAAUCAGAUAUCCACAUAGCACGCACUAUAAACCAAACAAGUGGCUCACACAAUAGGUUGACUGCCUCAGCAAGUCGUCUGUACGGGCUGUGUGUGCUCUUAACCUUGCAUUACGAGGCUAAGGUGAACAGAUGAAAGGAUGAAGUGAGGAUCAGACCUCACAGCUCUUAUCCCUAACCAGGGAGAGCUUCUGACAAAUGAGCAUGGGUCCAGAAUGGGGGAACCCUUCUAUACCAGAGACUCUGGCACAAUGUGCACUGCACGGAUCUUGGGCUUGUAAUCUCAAUGCUACAACCAUGUAAUGGGAGCAGGAGAAGACUCACAGAAUAGUGGGGGAUAGAUUGCUUAUCCUAACUUCCACCAAUUCCUUAUUUAAAGGACUUUCACCUGCUUGGCACGAAAUAAAACAACCACAAUCAUUGCCUCUUAAGGAGGACUUCAGACAGUUUGCCCGUCAAAUAACAGACCGGGUCUCCAGACUACAGAAGUCAAGAGGACCUACCUCAAGCGCGUUUACCCAACCAGCAGCAGCUACCAAGCAAGUUCUUAAAAGAACUAGAAGCGGCUAAAGGUACCUGUACAAAAAGCUAACCAAUUAGCAACUCAGACAAACAGUCAGAAAACAACAAGUGUUCAACCAAUCAGACUAUACAAACUAAUGCACAACAAAGCAAGCUCAAAAACUCAAGCCCAAGCUUCACAACCUACAAAACAAAGUUAUGUUUAGUGUACAAACAUCAAACAACAUCAAUUGCAUUUAACUUGAUUCAUUCUCCAUGUGCAUUGGCUAUUCAUCCUGAAAAAUCAAGCAAACAUUAGCAACAGACCACUAGGCCAAGCUAGGGUCCAAAGGCAAGAAAAAUUCCUAAACAGCAAGGUAUCUCUAACCAAACUCAAAUUAUGUCAAACAAAAGCCAACACAAUUAAUCCCAUGGCCUAUCAUUCAUCAUGUUCAUUUUAUGCACAAAACAAAUCAAACUAGUUCAAAUGGAACACAAAACAUCCAAACAGAAACUAUUGCAUUCAAAUCCAUAUCAAAACAAAUCAAAAAAAUCUCCAAUAAAUUACACCUAAACAGGGUCUAUUCAAGGUAUGGCACACCAAAUUUCAGCUUAAUUGGGCAAAGGAACACCAUUGUCAAUGAAAAUCAACAAAAACGACACAAUUAUAUGCUCCAAAUCACAACAUCAACACAUGCUUCCAUUUCAAAAUUCAUAACUCAAUGAAAACAGUAAAGAAAAGGAUGGGACCAAAGCAGGAUGUCACAUCAUGUGUCUACAACUAUCAUACCAAAUUCAUAAAGCAUUCAACCACCAUAUGAGCAUGUUUCCACAAGGAUAUUUCAAACACAUGUCACACAAGCUGCACAUUGACCAACAGAGAUGAAAAAUAGCAAUCCAAAUUGAAAAUGCCACAUCUCUNNNNNNNNNNNNNNNNNNNNNNNNNCAGUAACUAUUUGCCAUUCAAAUCCAUAUCAAAACAAAUCCAAAAAAAUCUCAAAAAAAUUACACCUAAACGGGGUCUAUUCAAGGUAUGCACACCAAAUUUCAGCUUAAUUGGGCAAAGGAAACCAUGUCAAUGAAAAUCAACAAAAACAGACACAAUUAUAUGCUCCAAAUCACAACAUCAACACAUGCUUCCAUUUCAAAAAUUCAUAACUCAAUGAAAACAGUAAAGAAAUGGAUGGGACCAAAGCAGUGAUGUCACAUCAUGUGUCUACAACUAUCAUACCAAAUUUCAAAAGCAUUCAACACCAUAUGAGCAUUCAAAGGAUAUUUCAAACACAUGUCACACAAGCUUGCACAUUUGACCAACAGAGAUGAAAAAUAGCAAUCAAAUUGAAAAUGCCACAUAAAAUUCCACAAAAAUUCACAUAGCAUCUUAACAUGUUAAUGAACAUCCAUGCAAAAUUCACAUCAUUUCACCAAGUAUAGGUCACUCAAAUAAAUCCAGCAAGUUGACAUAAUGAGGUGUGACCACAGUUGUCACACCUAAGUUCCAAAAUUCAUAACUCAAUGACCAGGUAUCAAAAUUCAUGAAAUUACAUGGAAAAAGCCUCAACCAGUCCACAUUUACCACAAAAAAAUUUUCAGAAUUUAUUGUAGCUGAGAAUUUCACAUUUGGAUUUGGCACAAUAUCCAAAAUGUGCAAUGUUAAAGAAACCCAGGUCAAACAUAAUGUUCUACCAGCACAACUUAACCAAUAGGUCAAAAAAAUCGUAGAGUCAAAAAGGAAGUCAAAAGAAAAAAUGGCCUAUGAUUUUAUGAAUUUUCUAUGAAUUUUUGGUGAAUUUUCUAAGUCAGGGUGAUUUUUUAACAAUUGAGAUUAAUUAGAAAUUGGAAUUUACAAUGGCAGAGUGGUAAUACAGUGCGCGGGGGAGGGAAACCCUAAUCAAAAAUUUCCCCAAACCAGAUUUGGGAUCAAACAUCACUCUCCUUGUCAAUAAUUUUGUCCAGAAAUUACUAAGAACCGCAUGAACACGCGAAAUCCAAACGACACGCAAAAAUGAGCAUGCGAAUAACCGAUAGGACCGUGGCUGAACAUGUAGAAGCUAAUAGAGCUUAUUAAGCCUAACCUGUUCCUCUAUUUUUCUCCAAUCGAUCGGACCUAGGCGUUGUUGUCCUUAGAAACUGCAAAUCAGGAUAACUUCCCUCAGGUUAUCAUUUCACAAACCAAUCAUACCACCAUAUCUACAGUCCACGAAACUGAUAAACCGGCAUGGAUAAUUAAAGAAACGGUAAAACUGCGAAUUCUGACCUUGAUCUUUGAAAGACAUGUGUUGAUUUUGAGUUUCAGUCGUUUUGAUCCAAAACAGCAGCAGGACAGCUCCAGGGAAGUGAAUGCUAGCCUCAGGGCUGAAUCGAUGUUCUAUCCUCCUAGCGCGCAAACUGAUUCACCAUUGAUGAUGCAAUUGUUGGAACAGUGUACGGAUUUACCACGGUCCGUUUCCGUUCCAAUCUCACCCAUCAAAAAGAUUGAGAUGAUCUGAUGAGAGGAGUUCAAAUUAAAAAGAAAUCGCAGAUGUGACAAGGAUUUGGAGGAAGAGUGGUAGUUUUAGGGUUUGGGUGUUAUUGAGGAAUUUUGAUGAGAAUAGAAGCGUUGUCAGAUCUGGGUUUUGGAAUGGGGUAAUUCUGUGAAUUAGAUGAUGAAUUAGGAAUAGAUAUCCCUUGCUUAAUCCCAGCUUAAUUACACCAGUAACCAAAUGGAAAUUGAUGAGUGACAAUGGUUUCAAUUUCUCAAAGCAAAGGUGCAAAAGUGUAACAUGCAUAUGCCAGCUCAUUGCCCCGUAUGGACAGCGCACACACUCUCAAAAUGGACAGUGUGAGCUGUGGCAAACUUGUUUCACUACCUCCAUUUGGGAUGAGUAUUGUUUGGGAAAAUUUCACUAUUGUGAUGGUCACUUUGUCCAUUUUUGCAUUUCAUUUUAAGUCCAAUUGCCAAACCACAAGGCCUAGGCAGGUUAAGGAUGAAGUUCCAACAAAAGUUCACAAUACAUUUAUGAGGUGUGUGCAAAAAAUCCCACUCAAAAAGUCUCAAUUAUUUCACAAGUUGGACAAUUGGGCCCCUGGUCAUUAACUGGUUACAGUGAAAUUUGACAUUUUUGCAUGUGACCAUUUUUGCGACAAACCAAUUCACCUGCACCAUGAACAGUACCAAAUGGGUCUAAAUGAGUCGUGCUGGCAUAUAAAGUAACCCCAUGAAUGCAAACCUAAGGACCAAACACAUGGUGGAGAGUUAAUGGGGGACACCGGUACCUUGCAAUUGGGUCAUUUUUGAAUUGUUCACGAGCCAUAAUGAUCCAACCAUACAUGGGAUUUUCAAGUUCUUGGACUUUUUGGAAAGGUGAGAACAAGAUCUACAACUUUCAUGUUGAACAAUUUUCAUUUGAAGCUUCCUUAGACACGUGGCUUUGAGGUCCAAAACUUUCCAUUUUUUGGAAACUUCAAUUACAAGGCACUUUUCUAUUUUUGUGUAGUUCGUGUCCUGACUUGAUGUUCUUCAUUUUAAGCUUUGAGAUUCAUAUAACACUGUUCCAACAUGAAUGAAGUGUAUCCAACUCAUGUUCACCUCCAAAUCCAUCAAAUCAUGAACAGUUGACCACAGUUGACUUUUUCAUCUGAUAGAUGAAUUGGGCAUACAUAGAUCAAUCUGAGCCCCAAUCUUCAACUGAAAUGGCUCAAGGGUGAAACCCUAGCCUCAAUAAGCUCAAAAUAAUCAUAGAAUGAACCCCAUAACCAUCACAAACCCCAUCUCCUGAUCAUGCCCGGCUGGCCCACUGCCAACUGAUAGGGUUGACCAGUGGUCAAAACCCUAAUCUCAAGGGAUCUGCUUCAACACUUGAUUCUUCUGAUGAUAACCAACCAUGAUGAUGAUGAUGUAUCAUUGCAAUCAAGAUGAAGACCACCAUCCAUUGAGAAUCAUGAAACCCUAAUUUGUAGCCCAAUCCUCAGAUGGCCAAUGAUCAGUCAAUAAACCCUAGGCUUGCCUUGACUUCCUCAUCUUCUGAUAAGAUUGAGAGGAUAGCUUGCACAACGUAACCACAUGAUAUGCCAAUAUGAAAUUCCUAAUGACCUAAAAAUGUAUGCAAUAUGUUAAUACUAGUCCCAAGAGAGGAGGGCAAAUUUUGAGGUGUUACAAUGCAUAUCUAAACAAGGCAGGGGUUGCUAUCGUUCUGUAAUACUUUAUAAAUAAUUAAGAAACUGAAUUGUUUUUUUUUUUACUGGAUUGUUCUUCAGCAGGUGCUGUUAUGCAUAUAACUAACUGUCUACGUCAAUGACACAUCUCACACGAGCAUUCUAAAAGAUAUUAAAUUAUAUAUGAAGAUGAAUUCAAAACAGGUAACCAGGACAAUUCCUCUUUAUUAAUUCUCAAUGCAUACGAUAUGGUCAUCUAUUUCUUCCUCUGGUGGGGCAUCAGAUAUGUCUGCAAUCUUAUGAAUACAAAAAUCAAAAUCUGAGAACCUAAGCGCUUCUCAUUCAGAUAUUAAUUGUAUACUUGUUCCAUGAUUCCAUGAUGAUGAUGGUAAAGACGACUUUAAUCCAUAUAGACUCAAUAUAUCUCUUUCUAAUUUUGUAUUUUUGAGAAUCCUUUUUUGAUGGUUAUCAAUAUAAAAACUAUUAUGAAAAAAAUAGUUUUUCAUGUAGAAUAACAUGUGUGACUUCCGUCAAAUUCCACUAUUUUUAUGUUAAUGAUACCUUUACAAUACAUAUUUUCCUUUAGAAAUGUAUUUAUACCCUCUCGCAAUAACACAUUUUUCACUUUAAAUCACUUCAGAUGAGUUAUAUUUUAUCUAUUUAUUAUUGUGACACACCACAAAAAUUGUUAUAAGAAAAUUCCAAAACCUAUAAAAAACUAAUGGUACAUAAAUCGAUUAAAUGAAUGACUCUGUACCAAUUAUUAGGACAAGAUGGAGGAGAAAUUUCAAUUGCUAAAUCAUUUUCUUCGGGUUUCUACACUUGGCCACCCUUAUCAGCUUGCAAUUGACAAACUCAGCCAAUAUCUUGAUAUCUUCAUCUUCCAAACGAGCUCCAAUGUACACUGCCCUCGAGGCAUGCAUUCUUUUACCAAAUCCCUGCAUGAAAAUUGAAGCCCUAAACAUAAACUAUGAAGAAUGAAGAAUAAAUCAUAAAGAAAAAGCUAAUUUUCUAAAUUCUCAAGUCUAUACAAUUACAAUAUAUCUCAUCGCAUUCUUCCUUGCCAUAGUAUGUGACGCGGUAGAUUCUUCUUCUGUAUCAACUCCAUUUCUGUACAGCAACAUCAGAAGAAAGAAACAUUGAUUCACGCCUUCACUUUAGGGCAGAGAGCAAUUCACAAUGAGAGUUCUGAGGUUCUUUACCUUUGUAAAUCCUUGUGUGAUAGAUGUUGAUCCCUGUUAGAAAAUAAAAAUCAAUUUUGUGUUUGCUAGAACAUAAGAAAAGUUAUGUGAAGAGGAUGAUAUGCUUACUGGUUGUAUAAAUGUUUUCCACCUGCAUCGUGACAUCCAAUACAUGUUUGACGGAAACAAUGAGGCUCCUCUUAGGAUAUCUAGGGUUUGGGCACUUGAAACUGUAGAACAAGAAAAGUGAUUGGCAAUUUGGAUGGGAGCGAGUAGUGCAAUUUGAAUAGAGACGCAGGGGCAAUUUAGUAUUUUAGACAGGAGCAAACCUGGAGUGACGCAAAUUGGAGAAAAAAGCAAGAAUGCAGCAGCAAGAGAGGGAGCCAGGUGGUUGAAAAACUUGACUUGGUUUGUCUUUGUAGGAAUGGGCUUCAACUGGUUCUUCCUCUGUUGGGAGGGGCAUCAGAUAUGUCUGCAAUCUUAUGAAUAUCAAAAUCAAAAUCAAAAAGUUGAGUAUUGAAAAAUGUCCUACAUGCAUGUUUUAAAUUGCAGUUGUGGAAAUUGUAGUUUUAAUGUUGCUGAGACUUCAACAUCCGCAAUUAUAGUUGUGGAGUGCAAUUUAAACUAAGAUUUGUAUGCACAAGUCUGUAAAAGUUUUAGUUUGUAAAUUACUACACAUACCUAUAACCCCACUCAUUGUCAUACCACGAGACAACUUCACAAAGGACUUACUAAGCCCAAUCCCAGCCUUUGCAUCAAAGAUACUCGACCUGUUAAUAAGAAAUACAUUUAAAUUAAAACGCUUACUUGGCAAACAAACAUGAUCCUAACAACAACAGAAAAAAACUGCGACUAAUAUCAUAAAAGAGCGAGAUAAAUAAAGUUUAGUUUUAAGACAAAUAAAAAUCUGCUUUGAGCAUAUGUAAAUGAAAAUUCAAAAUGUGCAUAAUACCAGAUUUUAGCAUGUAUACUAGAUAAAAAGGCACAAGAGUGUCUGUCCUCUUAAAGAUGCUGAUAGUGAAUCUAAAUUUUGAAAUACAGCAACAUUUACUUACCUUGAAUCACCAACAAAGUCAUUAGAGAACAACUCUCAUCUGUGUAUCCAAGAAUUCCCUCAAUGUCCCUCUGAAGCGUGCCUUCAUUUUUUUUCAGUAGCAAGUAAUAGAAAACCAACGAAUGGUUAGUACAAAACAACUCGACAUGAGAGAAUAUAAGCCGGUCAGAAAAGUAAGAGACAUUACGUUAUUGCUGCUUUAACAUCUUCAUAGGAGGCAUUCUUUUGAAGCCGACAGGUAAGUCCACAACAGAAACAUUAGGAGUAGGAACACGAAAGGCCAUUCCAGUGAGUUUUCCAUUUUUAGCCGGAAGAACUUUUCCAACAGCCUGGAAUUUCACAAAGUGCAAAACUAAUUUAAUAAAUGUAAUUGGUAAGCACAGAAACUCUUAUGGCCAUCCAUCUCUUACCUUUGCAGCACCGGGAGAACUUGGAAUUAUAUUUGAGCUGCACCUCUUCCCCAUCAUUGAUUUCCUGCUGCAAAUCCUUCGGAUCCUUUCAUCAACAGUGCAUCCAACCGAGACACACGCAUAUUAGAUAAGUAAAUCCAUAAACAUUGUUUUUCAUUAACACAUAUCCAUGAAAAACAAUGUUUUAAUGGUGCAUGGAUCAUUUAUAAUUAACUAAUCCAUCCUAAAUGUUAUUACAUCAUAGCACCAUGCUACAUCCUAUCCAUCACAUGUUACAUGUUACAUGGUUUUGAUCAAAAGAUAAAAAAAGGGUUUCUCGCUUUGAAUGGCAGCCUUAACCUAAUGAUUCUUCCAUGCUCCACCUAUCCACUUGCCAUGCCAUGUUAAAUUCCCUUUGGGCCUGCCAAUAAACAUCAAGCAUUCAUCGAUACAUCAUAAUAGUCCCACCUCAAGCAACAACCAUAUCAUUCAACAAUUGCAGAGAAGCUCAACAUUCCAUUCAUCAACAGUGCAUCAACAUAACGAGCAAAUUAGAAAACAACAGUGCAAUAUCAAGAAUCAUUUGGCACAUGGAUAAACAAUAACAACAAUAAAUACAUCUGUUCAUAGAAGUAACAAUCAUUAAAAGAGCUAUCAUUCAACAUAAAAAAUACUAAACUAACAAGAACCCAUCCAAAGUUAACUAACAGUUUGUAACAGAAUAUAGCAGGCAACAUCAUAAUGUAAUUAACAUUUAACAACUCAUUUUCAAACUAACAGUAUAUGUAUCUUCGUUCACAUUUCACUUGAAUUUGAAUUUGAAUUUGAAUUUCGUGACUAACAAAACCAUUUCAUUCUAACUGAAAAUGGAAUUUCAUUUGAAUUCACGUAUCAUUUUCGUAACAGAUUCAAAGCCUUUAAAUUCAUCUCACACUUCACAUUUAAGGGGGUUCACGUUUUUCCAGAAAUACUCUCAACCUCUUUAUUUUUGUUUCCCUCUUAACUCACACACAACACUCCCUCUCCAAUUCAUUCACAGCGAAGAUUCAAUCCCUCACAGUUCUCUCCCAAACUCAUAGUUCUCUCUCAAUUCACCUCUAUCUCCUUCAGCAGAGCCUCUCAAUCCUCUCAAAGCAAACACAAGAGUUCAUAGUAGAAGAAGAGAUCAUAGUGAAAGAAGAAUAAGGAUAUUAAUUUAAUCUUGAAGAGAUGUUUUGGUAGAAGUUACCUGAAGUAACAUAGGGAGUUGAAUAUUCGAGCUUAUUGUCAAUCGCUUUGAAGAGACGUCAGAGCUACUCCGGCCAAUAAGCUCUUUUGCAUUUCUCCUUCAGUUCAUCUUCAACUUGUGCCAAGAUGUAGACCUUAGCCUAGGGAAUUGAUCCCUAAAUGAGGUUGGCAUCAACUUCCUUUCCCUUGCGUUUAAUUUCUGGAAGAUUGAUUUAGGGUUCUUGUGACAUUAGGCUCGAUUUGGUUGAUUGGUUAGGAAUUAGAUGAAAUUGAUGGUGAAGUCGGAUAGAGGACUUUGGAACAAGACAAAUGAUAUAGGUUUUAUAUUGUUUGGCUCUCCCGCCUCCGCCAUAGGCAAUUUCCGGUCUUUUUCGGGGAGAGACCGAGGGACCGAUCUUGGGAGCGAGGGAACUCGCCGCUCCGACUUCACCUCCGGUGACGCGGACGUAAACUUCGACGACUUGGGAUGGGUCGAGCUUGGGAGGCAUUGUGGAGAGUUUUAGGGGAAAUAGGGUUUCACACGGCGAAAUGAAGAAGCAGCCGCAACUAAAUGAAGAAAUGAACAGAUUUUUUUAAUUGAAAGACUUUAAACAGCGCUUUCUCAAAAGCGCUGACUAAGGUCUAUAUUUAAAAGCGCUUCUAAAAGCGCUCUCUAAGGGGGUCUUAGACAGCGCUUUCUAAAAGCGCUGUCUAAGACCCCCCCUUAGACAAGCGCUGGACAGCGCUUUCAUUAUUUUUUUAGAACAUUUUCCGUGUUUUAUUUUUAUUUUAACCUUAGACAGCGCUUUCUUUUAAAAGCGCUGUCUAAGAUGCGCUGUUAAAAAACCUUUUUGGCGUAGUGAUUGGAUACAAAUGAAACAAAUUGAUUUGUACAAAUUGCAGGGCAUUGUAGUAAGGGUGACAAAAAUGACCGUGAUUCGUAGAACUGACCCGAUAAUAUAAAUUGAUUUAUAGAAAUUGUAAGGUAUUGUAGUUGAGUUACAAUUUUGAGUCCAUCCACCCAUUUAAUAUGCCUUACCAAAGUGAAAAAAUCCGCGAACCGAAGACAUUAUGGGGUGGAUUGUUGAAAAAAAAUAUUUAAAAAAUAGCCAAUCUAAAAAAACAAAUGGUCCAAAACUUAAUACAUAUUAUGAUUUUUCUUCUUCUUAUAAAUACUUGUUUUUGGUUGUUUGAGGGUUAAUCCCAAUUAUUAAAAAUUCAAAAUAUUUAUUUUAGUUGGUUAAAUAUUAAUAUUUAAAUUAUAUUUUUGAAACUCGUAUUAAUGAUUUUAGACUUUUAAUUAUCAUUUUAAUUAAUUAUAGUAAUUUCAAUUCUUGAUGGUUUGGUUUUAUAUAUUUAUUUAUUUAUGAAUAUAUGCAAUAUUUUUUUAAAAGUAAAAUCAAUUAAAAAGAUAUUUUAUAGAAAAACAUUCUAAAAAAUAAAUGAAAAUUUUAAUUAUAAUUUUUUUAUUAAACUAUUAAAAAAUAAAAACAAAUGAAUAAAUAAAUAGGUGGACAAGUCCGUCAUCCGCUAAUCCGUCAUUUUGACAGGACAAACUAGAUUUUUAAGUCAAAUUAUGGAUUUUAAAUCCGAUUUUAUUUAACGAAUUUUGCAUAUUCUAUCCCUUUUUUGAUGGGUUCAAGGGUGGACGCGACGACAUGUUUUGUCACUCAAUUGUCCAUCAUGUUUAUAUCUCACAUCAAAAAUCAUGUGUUGAUUAAGUUCAAAUAUUUUAAUCAAAACUUAUAUUUUAUGUGAUUUAGACUAAUUCUAAUUUUAUAAUUAAAAAAUAUAAAAUAAUCCAUUAAUCUUUGUUCAGAUUAUAAAAUCUAAACAAGCUUUAUAUAAAGUAAUUUUAUAAUCCUAAAUAGUCAAACAUAAUAGAACACAUCAUAAAGAGUACAUAUACAUAAUAUGAAAAGAUCCUAAAAUAUAAAUAUAUAUAUAUAUAUAUAUAUAUAUAUAUAUAUAUAUAUAUAUAUAUAUAUAUAUAUAUAUAUAUAUAUAUAUAUAUAUAUAUAUAUAUAUAUAUAUAUAUAUAUAUANNNNNNNNNNNNNNNNNNNNNNNNNNNNNNNNNNNNNNNNNNNNNNNNNNNNNNNNNNNNNNNNNNNNNNNNNNNNNNNNNNNNNNNNNNNNNNNNNNNNNNNNNNNNNNNNNNNNNNNNNNNNNNNNNNNNNNNNNNNNNNNNNNNNNNNNNNNNNNNNNNNNNNNNNNNNNNNNNNNNNNNNNNNNNNNNNNNNNNNNNNNNNNNNNNNNNNNNNNNNNNNNNNNNNNNNNNNNNNNNNNNNNNNNNNNNNNNNNNNNNNNNNNNNNNNNNNNNNNNNNNNNNNNNNNNNNNNNNNNNNNNNNNNNNNNNNNNNNNNNNNNNNNNNNNNNNNNNNNNNNNNNNNNNNNNNNNNNNNNNNNNNNNNNNNNNNNNNNNNNNNNNNNNNNNNNNNNNNNNNNNNNNNNNNNNNNNNNNNNNNNNNNNNNNNNNNNNNNNNNNNNNNNNNNNNNNNNNNNNNNNNNNNNNNNNNNNNNNNNNNNNNNNNNNNNNNNNNNNNNNNNNNNNNNNNNNNNNNNNNNNNNNNNNNNNNNNNNNNNNNNNNNNNNNNNNNNNNNNNNNNNNNNNNNNNNNNNNNNNNNNNNNNNNNNNNNNNNNNNNNNNNNNNNNNNNNNNNNNNNNNNNNNNNNNNNNNNNNNNNNNNNNNNNNNNNNNNNNNNNNNNNNNNNNNNNNNNNNNNNNNNNNNNNNNNNNNNNNNNNNNNNNNNNNNNNNNNNNNNNNNNNNNNNNNNNNNNNNNNNNNNNNNNNNNNNNNNNNNNNNNNNNNNNNNNNNNNNNNNNNUAUAUAUAUAUAUAUAUAUAUAUAUAUAUAUAUAUAUAUAUAUAUAUAUAUAUAUAUAUAUAAUUGAAGUCAUCCACCGUAUUGAUAUUGUGUAAAUGUGGUAAGAUUGAGGUUUCUAGAGAGAUAUUUGAUCAGAUGCUGAUAAGAGUUUGGUUUCUUGGAAUGUUAUGAUUAUGGGUAUAUGAAUUAUUUCUCAUUAGGCAUGAAAGGAGUUUUUGAUAAGUUGGAAUUCAGUGGUAGCUGGAUAUAAGCUUAAUGUGUGUUUUUAUGAAGCUAUGAAGUUGUUUGAAGCAUUGUUGAAGAGGGGAUUGUGCCGAGCAAUGUUACUUUGCCGAGUUUCUGCUGUUUUGGGUUUGGCUGUUCUUGGUAAUGGAAGAUGGUUUGAUGGGUUUAUGGUUAAGAAUGAAAGAGGAGAUUGUGUGUUUUCAAGGCAGUAGUCAACAAGAAAUUGGUGCAUUGGACUGCUAUAAUUGUGGGCUUAGGAAUGCAUAGUUUGGCUAAUGAAGCUCUGGAGCUAUUUACAAAAUGUGCAGAAAUGGGAUGAAACCUCAUGCUAUAAUUUUCAAUGAUGAUAAAUGAGAAUAAAAUUGAGCCCACAGUUGAACACUCGGUUGCCAACCUUGAUUUGUCAAACAGAUGAUAGAAAGUUUGAAUUCUGCAUGAAACUGAGUUUCUGUCUAAGCAUAGUGCUAAAAGGAAGGGUGGUAUAGGUUAUGGGAAAUUAACACAGUCCAAUCAACAUGUUAAACUCAUGCACAAGAGUUUGAUAAAAACAUAUUUCUUUGGAUCCAUAUUUCUAACAUAUAAUCAGCCACAUACAGGUUCUUCUGCUAGAGUAAUUUACAUUGAUGAAAAUGGGAGUUAAACACAACAGAAAUGAAAAUGGGAGCAGAAGAUUGUAGCUGAAGAGACAACAUUCUCAUUGUCCGGGGACAAAGUUAGUAGCAAAAGCCCAUGCGUUGUUCGCGACAGGGUCAGCAACAUGGUCAUAAAGGUUCUGAAUAGGGCCCUUGCCAGUAACAAUGGCUUGAACAAAGAAACCAAACAUGGAGAACAUAGCCAGCCGACCAUUCUUGAGUUCCUUGACCUUCAACUCUGCAAAUGAAUCAGGGUCAUCAGCAAGGCCAAGAGGGUCAAAAGCACCACCAGGGUAAAGUGGGUCUAGUCCUUCGCCGAGGGGUCCUCCUCCAACUCUGUAGCCUUCAACAAAUCCCAUGAGCACAACCUGAGUAGCCCAGAUUGCAAGAAUGCUCUGAGCAUGAAUCAGGUUUGGGUUGCCCAAAUAGUCAAGGCCACCCUCCGCAAAGAUCUGGGAACCGGCUUUGAACCACACUGCCUCGCCGAAUUUAACACCAUUCUUUUCAAGGAGUUCGGGGAAGGUACAUCCCAAUGCACCAAGCAUAGCCCAUCUGCUGUGAAUUACUUCAAGCUCACGGUUCCUUGCAAAUGUUUCAGGGUCAGCUGAUAAUCCAGCUGUGUCCCAUCCAUAGUCACCAGGAAAUUCACCAGUCAGGUAGGAUGGAAUUUGUUCAGAGAAUGGACCCAAGUACUUGGGACGGUCAGGACCAUACCUGGUUUUCACAACAGAUCAUUCCAAGUCAAAUAUACAAACAAAUUAUCACAACUUUCAAAUAUCAGUCAUUACCUCUAUAGUACCGAAAAGUCUGAAAAAAUAUGUGUCUGUGUCAAUUUCAAUUUAUUAUUAUUUUUUCCGAAUUAUGUCGGGGUCGAUGUUAUGUGUCUGGUGUCCGUGCUUCAUAGGUCAUUAGCAUUUCAAUCACUGGCUUUUGGGUCUGACCCAACUAGCUAAUAAUUAGUUAUGAUGUUUGUAAGAGACAUGAUGAGUUAAAGGAAUGUUAAAAACCAGAACUUUAUGUAUUUUAACAUAUGCAAAAGCUAAAUUUUGACUGUAACUGAACUACUUACCAAAUGCUUUCAGGAGCACUCUUCACAGUACGACGCAUGGUAAAGCGAGCUUGGCCAAAGUUUCCAGCUUUCCUGAUGAAUUCAUUUCCCUGCCUCAAACCAGUCUUACCAGUGAAAGCUGAUUGUUGGAUAGCAGAGGUGGCCAUGAGGGCGUUGAGACUCCUUGCACUUUGAUGUUGUUCUCUUCGAUGCUACUAGCAAAUGUUGUUGUGAAGAGUGAAGAUAUGCUACAAAGGUUUAUAGAAGUGCAGGGAGUGGCCAGUGUGGAAAUAUUAGAUAUUGUGGAUUAGGAUAUGCACAAGUCAGCAACAUCUUAUUGGUUGUGAAUUUCUACAUGGAUUUCCAAGGUGAUAUAUUGUAUUCAUAUUGUGGCUCUCUUUGUGCCAUGUGGAUGCAGUCAUCUGGUGGCUUAGAUGUUUUUGAAGAGGAUGAAUGUGAGCCAAGGAAAUUAGGUCCACCAAAUUUGAUAGAGAAAAAUGAAAUUUGGAAGAAGUUUGUAUUAAGGGUGACAAUUAAAUCCACGAAGCUAAAGUUCAUAUGAGUCAUCUAUUAAAUUAUCUAUCAAAUCUAUUUAUUGUUCAAAAUAGUUAAUAGAUUAGGGGUCCGUUUGUUUUGGCUUUUUUUAAAAAUGAUUUUUGUAGUGUUAUAUAUUUUAGUGUAAAAAAAUUUAUCAAGAAAAUUUUCAUAAAAGCUUCAAAUGAAAAUUUUGUUUGAAUAGUUAUUCUUAAAAUGUUAUUUUAGGUAUUUUAUCAUUUUAUCGAAACUUUUUUUAGAUAUCAAAAUUUCAAAAAAUCACUUAAUUUUGAAACUAUUUCAAAUAGCUUUUUCUAAAAAUCAUUUUUGAGAUACAAUUUUUUUUAAAAUUAUAAUUUUGAAUAUGUUUUGAUCUUCAAUAAUGUAUAUUUAUGUUAUACAAUGAACAAUUCAACAUUUUAAUAUAUAAAAAAUAAAUUUAGAAAUACUUGCAAUAUUUUGAAAAAUAUUUUUGUAAAAUCCAUUUUAAAAAAUACAAAGAAAAAAUCCAUUUUUUUAAAGCACAGACCCUAGAUUUAAUACAUCCAUUUAAAAAGUUACGCUCAAUCUAUUCAACAAAUUUAAUACCAAGUUUUUAUAAUCAAUAAUAAGAAAAGAGCAUGUAAAAGUAAAAUUUUCAUUAAAAUUCGAAGAAGGAUUAUUUCCCUGAACUUUUAUGAAGAGGUAUUUUCCCCCUCAAAAUCUCCAAAAACUUUUAAGUUCGAACGUACAAGUAUAUUUCUUUCAUAGGUGUUACAAUUUUCUUCUUUUUAGUUGAUUUACAAAGAAAGAGGUGAAAAACAUUUCUUUUUAUGUUAGUCCCAUCAUACCCUUUUUUUCAAAAUUUUAAUAUUAUGCCAUUUCAUAUUAUUGAUGUUUUGUUGAGGGAUGUUUUAAAAUUCGGACAUGUGAUCUGUCAACGAGUUAUUGUUCGGGAUCGCAUGAGUUUUAAUUCAAUUUAUACAAAUUAAUAAAAAUAAUUUUAUGAAAUAAAUUUUUUAAAAUAAAUUUCAUAAUUAUAAAAUCUACAAAAGAAAAUUCUAAAUUUGCUCACCCAAUUAAUUGAAUAAUAAUCUCAAAUAAAAUUCCAACUUCUAAACCUAACAAGUUAUUGAUGGUUAUAAUUAUAAAUUUAUAAAAAUUAAAAAAGUAAUUAUAUGAUAUAAUAAUAUCAUAAAAUAAUAUAGAACAUAAAUAAAUAUCAUGUUCUAUAUAAAUAAUUAAAAAUAAAAUAUAUAAAUAUAAAAGUUAAUAAAAAUAAUAUGACUUUUUUUAAACAAAGAGGACUAAAGUCCAACAACAAACAUAACUACGCCACAACUAAAGGGGGAACCGAAGUUCCCAAUGUCUAUCUCUAGAAGUAUCAACUUACAUAUUCUCUUCCAUUGUCUAUCUGUUGUUACAUUAUGAGUAUUGUCUAAAGUAUUGUACAUGUUUGAAACUCCGACUUCUUUAUUCCCAUCAGCAAAGAUAACUUUAACAUAUGUGUCAUCAUUCUCAUUCGGAGGUAAAAUACAAGUUAUUUGAUACAUCACUUCCACCGGAAGCCAAUGAGCUAAAAUGGUGAAGCUCAAAUCACCCUCAGAGUUCAACAAAUCUGCAACUUCAGCCUGCUGCAAGACCUCCAGAAGUUGAAUAUUUAAAUCAUGCAUCUUGAACCAUGGUGUAAUUUAGUUGCUGGUCUACGCGUUCAUUGUCUUACCAUCAUCAAUUAUCCACAAACAUUACUCAAUAAUCUUCGAUAUAACUUUGAUGAUGCAUUACCAAAAGCUUGAGUUGGACGGUUUCAUUCUUCUCUAUCCACCGCACGAGAAUGAGAUGAGAUAGAUUAUCUACGCAAAGCACGAAAAUGUAAGGAGAAAAUGGAUCUCCCUGACGAAAGAAAUUUGAUGUUAUCUAACUUCAUUCCACCUAAUAUUUAUUUUCUCACUUGUAACCACAUGCAUAAUAAAAUUAGAAAAUAAUAUGAAUUUUGCUUAAAACUAAUAAUAACACUUAUACUAAAAAUAUUGUGAAAAUUUAAUUCACUAUUCCUUUGGUAAUAUGAUUUUUUCUAAAUAAUGAGAUUUAUACUUAAAAUAAUAUAAAAAUAUAAUUUUAUUUUUCUUUAGUAAUAUGAUAUUUUUUCAAAUCUUUUAUUAAUUUAUAAAAUUAUUAUACUAUAGAAUAAAUUUUCUAACUUUUAUAAUUUAUAAUAUUAUUAUAUUCCAUGAUUAAUAAUACAUAACUUUUAUAAUAUUAUAGAAUAUAUAAGUCUCUUUUCGUUUUCGUUAACCAAAUUAAACAUCAAAAGAGAUUCCCGAUGUAGUUUGUAAUUUUAAUAUUAUUUAAUUAUUAUAAAUAAUUAACAUAAGAAGAAUAAUUUUUCGGAUCAAGAAAUCCACUAAUUCAUUGGUCUAACCGAUGAACCACAUGAAUCUCACCAUUUUCUGUCGGGUCAAUUGCAACUAUUGUCAUAUCAUUUUACCAAAUAGUUUUACUCUCUGGUUCACAGUUUAACCAGGUUGAUCGACUGAUCCAAUCCGAAUUUUAAAAACAUUGUUGGUGAGUCAGUUUCUUCGGGAAAAAAUGAUCAUGACAAGCUUUUUAAAAAUGGUGGAUCAUAGUGGUGCAUUUGUUAGAAUUUACUAUAAAAAUUUAUCAUGUCAAACUUAUUUUAGGUGAUGUAAACGAGAAGCUACCAUAAAAAAUUGUUAAGGGAUCCGAGGAUCAUCACACCGGGCUUUAGGAGCAAGUGAGAGGGACACCACAUAUUAGCCCAAAAUCUUAAGACAUUAGGUAUGUGGGUCUUCUCACUUAUAAAGUGUUCAACAUUCACUUUUCAUCUUAUGUGAGACUCAUACUCACACUUGAUAUACCAACAAUCUUCCCCUCAAAUGUGAGUUCUUCCAUUCUUAUGGUCAUUGCUCCCUCUCAAAUAAAAUAAUUUUUCAUUCAUGUCUGCUGGCACUAUCAUUGGAUGGACCCAACGAAACACGUCGCCUGGACACCCUUGUAAGGAAGAUUUUUUAAACAAGGAGCCCUAGUUGAACUAGGCUAUGAUACAUUGUUGGCUAAUGAGGGGGUCCAACGGAACACACCGUCUGGACACCCUUGUUAGGAAUACUUUUGAUACAAGGGAUUAUGUUGAAUGUAAUUCAACAUUCAAGUUAGUUUAGUUUUGAAUUUUAUUUGCAUUUAAGUUUCAUAUGAAUUUGAGUAAUUAUAUAAACCAAAAUGUAAUUGCAUUUGUAAUAGAUUUUUAGUUUUGUAAUUAUUGGAAUCAGAAAGUUCGUUACACAAUUCUCUCUCUUUUCUCAAUUCUCUACGAAUGUUAUUCAUCAUCUUCAUCUUCUUGUGCAAUGUUAGUGGAAGUUCAUUAUUGAACUCCAACAAUAAUGACAUUUAGAUGAAAAAGACUAACUUAAUAUAUUUUUAAAAAUUAAGAAACUCAAAUGAUUUUUUUAAAGUUAAGAAACUAAAAUGAACUCUGAAUAUAAGAUAUAGUAUGAAAAAGGAUAUUAAGUGAUAGUUUUUCUAAAAGGAGAAAUAAACUACAAGAAACACAACUAAUAAGCAUAAAUGUUUAUAAUUUUCAAAUAAGUUUAAUCGCAUAGCUAUUCAAAUUAGUCACACAUUAAAAAUAUCCACCAUCGGUAGUAACUUAUACAAUAUUGAUUUUUUAUGUCAAAAUUGCAACCUUCUUAUAAUAAUUCUAAUUAUUUAAUUUAGAGUAAUGUUACAGUCAAUUCUUACACUAAUAUUUACCUCCAAUAUUGUUUACCGUAUGUAUAUGGUGAAGUAUAUUUUUUAUUUAAUAAAGAAGAUAAAAAAAAUUAUUUAAAAAAUAUGUGGUUAAUAACAUAUAUAAUUAAUGCAAUAAUAAAAUUGAUUAAUAUCAAAAUCUUAUAUUUGUGUUUUAAAAUUAAUCUUAAAAAAAUAUUUUUUAUAAAUAGUUUUUUAUUUUAAAAAAUAUAAUAAAUAUUUUUUAUUUUAAAAAAAAAUAUUAUUCACUGUAUAAACACGAUAAACAAUAUUGGACAUAAGUAUUUGUGUAGAAAAUGGGAGUAAGAAUAGUAGUAUUUCUUUUUAAUUUAUGUAUAAGUAUGUUUUUUUUGGAAUAAAAGAAUUUUAUUAAAUCCAAAAAAUCUUACAGCAAAAAGGCGAUCCAAUGAUCCAGCCUAGGAAUUCAAAAAAAAAAACACAACACCUACUACAUAAGGAAGCAUGAAAUGGCUAAUAUUGCUUCUAAGGUUAGGCAUAGUCCAACACCUAAGAUCAAUAAUAUCAAUGAUCUUAGGACCUCUAAUAGCUGUAACACCCCAUUUUUUAUUAGAUAUUUUAUUAUAUUUUAAUUGUUUAAAUUAUAUAUUUUGAUGAUUUAUUUUAUGGUCGGGUGUUGGCGGAUUAUAUAUCCUUGAAUUAGGGGUAUAGAGAGAUAAUAGAAGUGAGUAGAAUAAUUUAGAAUUAUUUUGGUAAUUAAAAAAAAUAUUUUAUUUAUUUUUAUAUAUUGAUUAGUGAAAAUAGAAUAAUUAGGCCAAAUAUGAAAAAUUGAGAAAGUUAGUGGAAAGAGGGAAUAAGAGAUCAUUAAAUUUAGGUCAAGUUGGUGAUUUGGAAAAAUUUACCCUAAAAAUAAAAAGUUAAGAGGAACCUAGGUUUAGUGAGAUUUUCACAUUACGUGACAUUUGAGAAAGAAGAGCAAAGAGGCAAAAGGCAAUAUGAUCAAGAGAAGAGAGUGAAAGUUCCAAUUCAGAAUUUUUGUAAGGAAUUCAGGUAAGGGUGAAAAAUUGUUUCAAUAAUAAGGGUGUAUGCAUGAAGGGUAGGGUGGAAGAGUCCUUAACCUCCAAUAGGAUGUUUGAGAUUUUACUAAAUUCUGAAUUUUUAUGAUAUCUUGAUGUUAUAUGUUGUGAUUAUUGGUGAUUAUUGGUGAUUUUCGUGCGUGGCUGUAUUUUCUGUUUUGAGUGUUGGGAUAAUUUCACAAUUGUUGAGAGUUUCGAAGGUUUAUGAAAAUAAUAAAGUUAUAAAUUAUAUGAUUUAAUUGAUGCCAAUAUGUGAUAAAUCUUAAAUUUGAUGUAUUAGUCAUUGGAUAAGUGUUGGGUUUCAAAUUCUAAGAUCAAGACUUUUUACGAAAUCGAAAUCGGAGGUCUGGAAGACCUCAAACGGAGAAAAAUAAGUUUCUAGGUUGUUCUUCGAACCUGUAACCGAUUACCGGUCUGAGUGUAACCGAUAACCACUUGAAAAAUAGGUUUUUGGGCUGUUUUCGAAGCCCAUAACCGGUUACGGGUUUGAGCGUAACCGGUUACUACUGUUACGUGCAAAAUUUAGAAAAUUGAAAAUGACGUAACUUGAGCUCCGUAGCUCCCUUUGACGCGCGGUUCGAAGUGUUAGAAAGCUAACAUAUAGUACUUUCUCAUGGUGAUGCUUUAAGAGGCUGAAUAUUAUGUAUUUAACAUUGAUUUAAUUGAUAAUUCAUUAUUAUUGUAGAUGUCUUGGUUGUUAUAUGGAAGUUGUUUAUGUGAAAGUUACAAUUGUCGAUUUUCUGUGUUUUGUUGGUUGUUGGCUACUAUUAGUUGUUGUAUGAUGUUGUUUUGAUGUCAGUUGCUGAUUUAUCAUGAUUUGAAUCGGUAUGAUGUAGUUAUUGGUGAAUGAUGAAUAUAUGUUAAUGAUAAAUGAUUGAUUAAACAUGAAUAAUUGUUGUGUGACAAUAAUGUUGUUAUGUCGGUGUUUCUAUAAUGAUGUUAUUAAGAUGACUGUGUUGAUGUUGUUGUGUUGGUGUUUUUAUGAUGACAAUAUGAACAUGAUGAAAUUAUGUUAAUGAUGUGGUGUUGAUGUUGGCAUACAUAGUCAAGAGUGGACCGAUGUGUAUAUAUUGAUGAUAUUGUUAUUGUUGCAUGUUAGGAGUCAUGCAUCCAUGUUGUCGGAGCUUCAGUUUUAUUUAUUUGGUGAGCCUCGAUCCUAUGAUGAUGGAUAUGGUUCGAGUAGCUAAUUCCUAUUAUGGGGGAUUAGUGAAGCGCUAUCUAUGGUGAUGGUAGUGAUUUUGGUGUGCUCCGGUUCCAAGAGGGAAUCGAUCCUAUGGUGGGGAUCAUAGAGCGAAAUGAACCUGAGUGUUCAUAUUUGGUACCACAUGCAUGUCGAGUCGGCGUUGAGUCCAUUUCAUAAGUGUUGCAUUUAUAUUGGUUGUGUAUAGUGUUGAUGAUAAUUGAUAAGUUGUUGUGUAUGAUGUUAAUGAUGAUUUGGGUGUGAGAAUUACAAUAUGUUGUUGUGAACGAUUAUGUUGACUGUAAUCUAUCUUUCAUGUUAUGUCUUUUAUAAUUGAUUAUAAUUUCUCAUCCCUUCUGUUUGAAUGUUGCCUUUACACGGACAUCGUGCAGAUACUCAGGAGUACCUUUGACUGAAGUAAGUGGAAGGAUAGUUCUUGAAGUGACUUCCAUUAGUUGUCAUUUAUUUAGUAGGAUAACUCUGAUCAUGUAACAUCGGGAUGGGAAUCGUUCGUGUUAAUUUCACUUGUUAUUGUUUGUUGGAGUUUUGAUUUUAUGUUGUUGAACGCUGAACAAUAUAACUCUCUUGUUCGUGUAAACAUCUCAGAUAAAUAUCAGAUGAGUUUGGAUGUCGUGUAAAUAUCCUAGGUGAAAUAAAGUUACAUGAUUAGUAGGUGUUGUUUGUUGUGUAUGUGUGAUAUCUUAUGUGCUAAGUUGAAAAAUAUCUGAUUUAUUUAUGAAUUAUGUAUUGGGGUAAUUAGGGUGUUACAUUAGCACCAUCAAUUUUGUUACCAAAACAAUGUUAAUUUCUAGCAUGUGACAUGUGUGUGAUUAUGUUUGUGGGAUCAGAGCAGGUCGGUUCGUCCGACCAGGUUGUCUAAUUAUGUUUGUUCCCUAGUAUGUGACAUGUGUGUGAGAACACUGCCGAUGCUUGUUUUGUUUUCCAUUUGUAGGUUGGGAAUGAAACAAGUGAGGGAGAAGAGUAUGCUUCUCUUGGAUGUUUUAACUGUAUAAAGCUUGGACAUCAUGUUGGUGCAUGCAAGAGUGCAUUGUUGGCUAGUUCAACUGUUUUGAGGAUGUUGUGCUUUUUCGUAACCUGGAGUGAGGUCGGAUUCGAGGAUGGUGACGGUUAGAAAAAUGGUGUGAUACUUGAGGGAACACAGUCAGGUGUUCUCGUUGGUCGCUUCCUUAUGAUGGGGAAUGCGAUGUUUUGGCCAGAGAUGAGCCAGUGGUGUGUUGAGUAUCCCGACGUGUUCCAUGAGGAUGUGUAUGUUUUGUAUUUUGUUGGAACAAGUUGACAUUAUUCUUUGAAUGAAUUGGUUGGAGUUAAACUAAAUGUUUACCAAUUGUUUUGAUAAGUUGGUGCAAUAUGCCACUGAAUGCAAGAGCUCAGGCGGUGUUGAAGUUGUGUUGUUCCUAACACUGAAGAUGUUGUAGAUUCGAGAUUCCUAUCUGCCGGUCAAUUUGGGAAGUCUUUAGGGAGAAUGAUUAGGUAUUAUUAAUGAUGCUUCUUGAAGAGUAGAGAGAAAUGUGACGACAAGUGUUAUGUUAGUGGUGUGUGAUUCCUGAUGUUUUCCUAAAGAUAUCUACGACUUGCCUACAGAGCAUGAAUCUGAGUUCGAUGGAGGUGAAAAGUUGACAUAUGUAUCAGUUAAGCAAGUGAGAGAGUACGUGAAGGAUAUGGCAUACGUGUUUGUGAUGUUAGCUUCAUUGGAAGCUAGAGGAAAGGUAAUAGUUCGUGAUCUUCCUGGAGUGUUUCCUGAAGACAUCAAUGAUUUGCCUCUGGAGCAUGAAGUAGAGUUUACCUUCGACUUAGUACUAGGUACGAGUUUGGUGUCAAUGGAUCCUUAUAGAAUGUCAGCUUCAGAGUUGG